rnacentral:rRNA from 1 species
GGCUCAGGACGAACGCUGGCGGCGUGCUUAACACAUGCAAGUCGAACGGUGAUGACCAGCUUGCUGGUCUGAUCAGUGGCGAACGGGUGAGUAACACGUGAGCAACCUGCCCCUGACUCUGGGAUAACGACCGGAAACGGUCGCUAAUACCGGAUAUGAGACGUACAGGCAUCUGUUGCGUCUGGAAAGUUUUUCGGUCAGGGAUGGGCUCGCGGCCUAUCAGCUUGUUGGUGGGGUAACGGCCUACCAAGGCGACGACGGGUAGCCGGCCUGAGAGGGCGACCGGCCACACUGGGACUGAGACACGGCCCAGACUCCUACGGGAGGCAGCAGUGGGGAAUAUUGCACAAUGGGCGCAAGCCUGAUGCAGCGACGCCGCGUGAGGGAUGACGGCCUUCGGGUUGUAAACCUCUUUCAGCAGGGAAGAAGCGCAAGUGACGGUACCUGCAGAAGAAGCGCCGGCUAACUACGUGCCAGCAGCCGCGGUAAUACGUAGGGCGCAAGCGUUGUCCGGAAUUAUUGGGCGUAAAGAGCUCGUAGGCGGUCUGUCGCGUCUGCUGUGAAAACCUCAGGCUCAACCUGGGGCUUGCAGUGGGUACGGGCAGACUAGAGUGCGGUAGGGGUGACUGGAAUUCCUGGUGUAGCGGUGGAAUGCGCAGAUAUCAGGAGGAACACCGAUGGCGAAGGCAGGUCACUGGGCCGCAACUGACGCUGAGGAGCGAAAGCAUGGGGAGCGAACAGGAUUAGAUACCCUGGUAGUCCAUGCCGUAAACGUUGGGCACUAGGUGUGGGGCUCAUUCCACGAGCUCUGUGCCGCAGCAAACGCAUUAAGUGCCCCGCCUGGGGAGUACGGCCGCAAGGCUAAAACUCAAAGAAAUUGACGGGGGCCCGCACAAGCGGCGGAGCAUGCGGAUUAAUUCGAUGCAACGCGAAGAACCUUACCAAGGCUUGACAUACACCGGAAAAGUGCAGAGAUGUGCUCCCCGUAAGGUCGGUGUACAGGUG